CAGCAGCCACGGGAAUACGUAGGUGGCAAGCGUUGUCCGGAAUUAUUGGGCGUAAAGGGCUCGCAGGCGGUUUCUUAAGUCUGAUGUGAAAGCCCUCGGCUCAACCGGGGAGGGUCAUUGGAAACUGGGAAACUUGAGUGCAGAAGAGGAGAGUGGAAUUCCACGUGUAACGGUGAAAUGCGUAGAGAUGUGGAGGAACACCAGUGGCGAAGGCGACUCUCUGGUCUGUAACUGACGCUGAGGAGCGAAAGCGUGGGGAGCGAACAGGAUUAGAUACCCCUGUAGUCCCUGUCUCUUAUAC
rnacentral:rRNA from 1 species